rnacentral:rRNA from 1 species
GGGUUGUGAGGUUAAGCGACUAAGCGUACACGGUGGAUGCCCUGGCAGUCAGAGGCGAUGAAGGACGUGCUAAUCUGCGAUAAGCGCCGGUAAGGUGAUAUGAACCGUUAUAACCGGCGAUUUCCGAAUGGGGAAACCCAGUGUGAUUCGUCACACUAUCAUUAACUGAAUCCAUAGGUUAAUGAGGCGAACCGGGGGAACUGAAACAUCUAAGUACCCCGAGGAAAAGAAAUCAACCGAGAUUCCCCCAGUAGCGGCGAGCGAACGGGGAGGAGCCCAGAGCCUGAAUCAGCAUGUGUGUUAGUGGAAGCGUCUGGAAAGGCGCGCGAUACAGGGUGACAGCCCCGUACACAAAAGCGCAUGUGCUGUGAGCUCGAUGAGUAGGGCGGGACACGUGGUAUCCUGUCUGAAUAUGGGGGGACCAUCCUCCAAGGCUAAAUACUCCUGACUGACCGAUAGUGAACCAGUACCGUGAGGGAAAGGCGAAAAGAACCCCGGCGAGGGGAGUGAAAAAGAACCUGAAACCGUGUACGUACAAGCAGUGGGAGCCCCACCACUAAGCCAGUGGUGAACUCCACAUACGCAUCCUUUGCUGAGGAUACGGUUAACGGAGCGAAAGCGACGUUCAACCGCAAAAGAAGCAGAGGG